UACACGGGGGGCAAGCGUUGUUCGGAAUUACUGGGCGUAAAGGGUUCGUAGGUGGCUUACUAAGUCAGACGUGAAAUCCCUCAGCUUAACUGGGGAACUGCGUCUGAUACUGGAAAGCUUGAGUGCAGGAGAGGAACGCGGAAUUCCAGGUGUAGCGGUGAAAUGCGUAGAUAUCUGGAGGAACACCGGUGGCGAAGGCGGCGUUCUGGACUGCAACUGACACUGAUGAACGAAAGCCAGGGGAGCAAACGGG
rnacentral:rRNA from 1 species